CUUUUUGUUUUUGAGUCAGUUUAGAGGUUUUAGCAAGCCCUCCUAAUCCCCGGUUUAGAACGAUACCCUACUUAUAUCUAUACUACAAUUGUCAAAAAGAGGGUUUAAUUUGUGUGCUUAUAAUAUUUCGCAUCAAAAAACGCUAAAUCACUAGCCAAUAUAGAAGGAAAAAGGUUUUUAUCACAAAUGGUCCCUAAAAUUGAUCAAACUCGGCAUUUUGGUCCCUCACUUUCAAAAUCAAUCAAUGUCGUCCCUGACAUUCACUACCGCACAUCAAUUUGGUCAUUCUGUUAAGUUUCCUUUAACUAUUCUGUUAGUUUGUAUGUGGAACCUACAAAUCCAAUAAAAUGGCGACAUGUAAAUUACACAAAAUAAGGAUUUUUAUCACAAAUAGUCCCAAACAUUGAUCCAACUCCUCAUUUUUGUCCCUGAGUUUCAAAAAUCAAUAAAUUUGGUCCCUUACUUUGAAUACCACAUGUCAAUUUAAUCCUUCCAUUGAAGUUUCAUCAAUAUUUUUUGUCCCACUAAUCCAAUCGUAUGGCUCCACAUAGAUUAACUAUAAGAAACUAUUUUUUAAGAUUUAAAACUAAACGUAAAGUAAGAAACUAAAAACCAAAACUAAAGGAAAGAAAAUCGUCAUCGUCGUCUUCAUCAUCAGGGUAUCUCAAAAAGAAAAGGAAGGCAAUAUGACACUACUAAAGUACUUGGCCCCCCUAAACUCACUCCUCAGUUGGUUAUAAUCCUAUCAAAUUUGAAUUGGAUUUGGAUUUGAUUUUAUCGAAUUUAGAUUGGGUUAUUUAUUUAUUUAUUUAUUUUUAUCAAUUGGGAUGCAAGAAAUGCUAGCCCAGAAUACUCGUUCGUUGGUUCACUUUUAAAAAAAUAGUUUCUUAUAGUUAAUCCAAGUGGAGCCAUAUGAUUGGAUUAGUGGGACCACAUCAGCUCACAAACGAAAAAUAUUGAUGAAAUUUUAAAGGAAUGACUAAAUUCAUGUGCGAUAGUGAAAGUUAGGACCAAAUUUAUUGAUUUUUGAAACUUAGGGACCAAAAUGAGGAGUUUGAUCAAUGUUAGGGACCAUUUGCGAUAAAAACUCUUAUUUUGUGUAAUCCACGUGUCACAAUUUCAUUGAAUUUGUGGGUCCCACAUAAAAACUAACAUAAUAGUUGACGAAAUCUUAACGGAAUGACCAAAUUGAUGUGCGAUAGUGAAUGUCAGGGAUGACAUUGAUUGAUGUUGAAAGUGAGGGACCAAAAUGAUGAGCUUGAUCAAUCUCAGGGACUGUGGAUGCAAAUUUUCUCUUCCUCGAUCUUGGAUGAUUUUGCACCUACAAAACAACUAGCACCUUAGGUUAAGGCCAAAAGCCUCAUGCGCCCACGAUGAAUGGGGAGAGGGCUUUGGCCGAAGAACCUCCGAUGCCAAAGUUAGAAUUUUAGAGAGAAAUAGUGUUUAGAGUACUUGAGAUUUUUUGUAAGAGAAUUGGAAUUAGUGUUUGGUGAAAAUGGGAACCAAUUUAUAGGAGAGGAAAGGGUGGCCGGCCUUUAAGCCUAGGGUGAUUUAUUUUGGGGGGUUAUGGAGAUAAUGGGCUAGUUAUUUUGGGGAGUUAUGGAAAUAAUUGGCUAGUUAAUUAGCAAAUAAUAAUAACCUAAUUAACUAGCUAUUUGAAUGUCAUAAAAGGGAAAGAAAAUGGUAGCAAAAAACAGAAAAUAGAAGGCAUGGCCGGCCCUAGUGGGUAACCGGCCUUUGGCAUGUUUUUUGGUUAUAAUUUGGUAGUUUAGUUGAUAAUUAAGGGAUUGAUUAGGUAAUUAAUCCCUUAAUUAGUCAAUUUUAGGAAAUAUGAAAGGAAAAUACUAUUUAGCUAAUUUAUUAGCUAAAUAAUGGAAUAUAAAGCAUAUAGAAUAAAUUAGAUUUUUGGGAAUUACCUUAUAGAAAGGAUUUGAUGAAAUAGGCUUUAAAUUGUUACCUAUUUUGGACACUUUUGACUUGGUUGAAAGAUGAUUGCCCGCUGCUCGCGUGUAGGAAUCCCGGUAUGCCUCAAGGGUAUUUUUGUCCUCUUUUGUCCAAAAGUUCACGUGUCGCCUAGUGAAUAUCUUUGGCUCCACAAAUGCCCCACACCUGCUGGGCUGUUUGUAGAAAAGGGCAACAGGUGUAGAGAUUUUCUUGCUUUAGGAAACUCUGAAUUGCUUCCUAUUUUGUUGUUGAUUCUCUCUUUUAAUGGGAAAUUUAAUCCUUCUAGGAAAAGGAAAUAAAUUUCCUCAAAGCUUAUUUAAGUCCACCUUAAGUGGAUUAUUAAAUCAACUUUUAGAGAGAAACUUAUUCAACCUUACAAGAAAGAAAGAGAGCUUAAAGGAUAUUUGUUCCCCCUCCUCUAGCAAUUUUCCACGUCUUGCCCAUGUAAAGGAUCGUCUUUCGUUGCGUGCUUCGUCUUCUCGUUGUUUCUAGGUGAGAAAAAUUUAAUUUUUCUAUCUUCGUAAUUUUCUUGGAAGUCUUGGGACUUGAAAUUGGCUCGACGGGGGUCGAGGGGUUUUGACAAUGGACCUAGGGAGGUUGCGGCACUGUUUGCUGUGCCUGGGCUAUAAGGAAGGAAGAGGUGUGGGCCGC
rnacentral:lncRNA from 1 species